ensembl:snoRNA
GCACAAGUUGUAUUUAUGGCAGGCCUGUCACCCUGGGCCUCUCAUAGUCCCAUGCUAGAGUAAUCAGUGGCUUGGAACCUUCCCUGGUCUCUGUGCCUGUAGGCUGCUAGUACUGAAGUGGGCCACAGAGUC